rnacentral:tRNA from 1 species
UGGAAAGAGGAGCACGCUCCAUAAGUGGAAUUACAAACCACCGCCUAAAUCAGCCAUCUUACC